rnacentral:rRNA from 1 species
GUAGGUUGGCAAGCGUUGUCCGGAAUUAUUGGGCGUAAAGCGCGCGCAGGUGGUUCUUUAAGUCUGAUGUGAAAGCCCCCGGGCUCAACCGGGGAGGGUCAUUGGAAACUGGGGAACUUGAGUGCAGGAGAGGAAAGUGGAAUUCCACGUGUAGCGGUGAAAUGCGUAGAUAUGUGGAGGAACACCAGUGGCGAAGGCGACUUUCUGGCCUGUAACUGACACUGAGGCGCGAAAGCGUGGGGAGCAAACAGGAUUAGAUACCCUGGUAGUCCACGCCGUAAACGAUGAGUGCUAAGUGUUGGGGGGUUUCCGCCCCUCAGUGCUGCAGCUAACGCAUUAAGCACUCCGCCUGGGGAGUACGGUCGCAAAGACUG